UAUUAUUUAAAAUGUAAAUUAUUAUACUUAAGUAGUAAUAGUUAUGUUCUUGAAACUUAAAAAAUUUGGCGGUAUUUUAGUCUAUCCAGAGGAACCUGUUUUGUAAUCGAUAAUCCACGAUGGACCUUACUUAAGUUUGUUAUCAGUUUAUAUACCGUCGUUAUCAGAAUAUUUUAUAAGAAUAAUAAUAUUCAAUAAUUUUUAUUAAAAUUUAUAUCAGAUCAAGGUGUAGCUUAUAUUUAAGUAAUAAUGGGUUACAAUAAAUAUAUUUAAAUGAAUAAAAUUAUGAAAAAAUUUUUGAAGGUGGAUUUGGUAGUAAAAUUAUAAAGAUUAAUAUUUUGAUUUUAGCUCUAAAAUAUGUACACAUCGCCCGUCGCUCUUAUUAUUAAGGUAAGAUAAGUCGUAACAUAGUAGAUGUACUGGAAAGUGUAUCUAGAAUGA
rnacentral:rRNA from 1 species